CAUUUUUCAUCUGUUUGCCUUGAAGUGAACUUGUCGACCUGUCAGCAGGUCUUCCCGGCCCUUGUUGUGGCGCUGCAGUAGUUAUUUCUCCAGAUGUACCCACUAGACACCGGGAGAGGAAGCGCACCAGCCCGACUGGAAUGCCUCUGUUUGGACUACUAGGACCAACUUUCUACUAUCAGCUUCCAAAAGGCUGGACUGAAUGAAGAGGAUAACUCAAGCUAAACCACCAAGAGUGACAACGAAAGAGAGAGAGAGAGACUGUGUGACAGCUGUUCAAUUAAGAUGCUGAAGAAGACGACUUGAGUGGUUUUAGUUCCCAGGAGGAGGAGGAGGACAGCGAUGAAUGACUUUUCUGAACUCUUUGGGAGGGGAAAAAAAGUGCAGCUUGCAGCAGCUGUUGCUGAUUCGCAUCACAGGCGGACAGAGGCGACACGUUGGAGCGCCACACACACCUAGAGUUCUUUGCCAUGAAGUGCCAUUUUGAACUUCCAGUGACCAGGAUGAGUGAGUGUGACAGCGCUAAUAUUCCAUUUAAAACAGCUGUACUUGAAACAAUGCCCUGGACGGGGUGUCCAAAGUACGGCCCGGGGGCCAUUUGCGGCUCACGGCUGCUUUUGUAUUGGCCCGCGGCACAUUCUAAAAAUAUAAUUUAACAAGGAAACAAAAAAAAAGUUUAAAAUUGAAAAAUCAGCAGUAAU